rnacentral:rRNA from 1 species
CCUACGGGAGGCAGCAGUGGGGAAUUGUUCGCAAUGGACGAAAGUCUGACGACGCAACGCCGCGUGGAGGAUGAAGGUCUUCGGAUUGUAAACUCCUGUUGCCCGGGACGAAAUGUUCCGACCUAAUACGUCGGAAUUUGACGGUACCGGGUGAGGAAGCCCCGGCUAACUCUGUGCCAGCAGCCGCGGUAAUACAGAGGGGGCAAGCGUUGUUCGGAAUUACUGGGCGUAAAGGGCGCGUAGGCGGCCUGCUAAGUCGAACGUGAAAUCCCCGGGCUCAACCCGGGAACUGCGUCCGAUACUGGUUGGCUUGAAUUCGGGAGAGGGAUGUGGAAUUCCAGGUGUAGCGGUGAAAUGCGUAGAUAUCUGGAGGAACACCGGUGGCGAAGGCGGCAUCCUGGACCGAUAUUGACGCUGAUGCGCGAAAGCCAGGGGAGCAA